GUCGGUUACGGAGAUAUUUAUCCGACGACAGUUCCUGGAAAGAUUGUUGGAAGUGUUUGUUGUAUAUGUGGAGUAUUAGUUAUUGCUCUACCUAUUCCAAUUAUAGUAAACAAC
rnacentral:sRNA from 1 species